GACGUAGGGCGCGAGCGUUGUCCGGAUUAUUGGGCGUAAAGAGCUCGUAGGCGGCUUGUCGCGUCGACUGUGAAAUCCCGCGGCUCAACUGCGGGUCUGCAGUCGAUACGGGCAGGCGUAGAGUUCGGUAGGGGAGACUGGAAUUCCUGGUGUAGCGGUGAAAUGUGCAGAUAUCAGGAGGAACACCGGUGGCGAAGGCGGGUCUCUGGGCCGAUACUGACGCUGAGGAGCGAAAGCGGUGGGGAGCGAACAGG
rnacentral:rRNA from 1 species